rnacentral:rRNA from 1 species
ACAGCAGCCGCCGCGGUAAUACGGGGGGGGCAAGUGUUAUUCGGAAUGACUGGGCGUAAAGGGCACGUAGGCGGUGAAAAGGGUGGAAAGUGAAAGUCGCCAAAACACUGGCGGGGUGCUUUCUUGACCAUUUCACUUGAGUGAGAUAGGGGAGAGUGGAAUUUCGUGUGGAGGGAUCAAAUCCUAAGAUAUACGAAGGAACGCCAACCGCGAAGGCAGCUCUCUGGGUCCCCACUGACGCUGGGGUGCGAAAGCAUGGGGAGCAAACAGGAUCAGAUACCCGUGUAGUCCCUGUCUCUUAUACA